rnacentral:rRNA from 1 species
GAUGAACGCUGGCGGCGUGCCUAAUACAUGCAAGUCGAGCGAACGGACGAGAAGCUUGCUUCUCUGAUGUUUGCGGCGGACGUGUGUGUAACACGUGGAUCACCUCCCUAUAAGACUGGGAUCACUUCGGGACACCGGAACUAAUACCAUAUCAUCUUUUGAACCGCAUUGUUCAAAAGUAAAAGACGGUCUUGCUGUUACUUAUUGAUGGAUCCUCGCUUCAUUAGCUAGUUGGUAAGGUAACGGCUUACCAAGGCAACGAUGCAUGGCCGACCUGAGAGGUGGAUCGGCCACACUGGAACUGAGACACGGUCCAGACUCCAACGGGAGGCAGCAGAAGGGAAUCUUCCGCAAUGGGCGAAAGCCUGACGGAGCAACGCCGCGGGAGUGAUGAAGGUCUUCGGAUCGUAAAACUCUGUUAUUAGGGAAGAACAUAUGUGUAAGUAACUGUGCACAUCGUGACGGUACCUAAUCAGAAAGCCACGGCUAACUACGUG